GUUAGAGCCGUAAAUUUGGACACGUUGAAUAGAGAUUUGCUGAAGCCAAGGCAGUGGAUUAAGGAAAAAAAGGGCUCAAAAACUGAAGAGCUAUAAUAUUUAGAAAUUAAGAAGUAGGAAGAAUUCAGAAAAGGAAAUUGAAAAAGAAUGGCCAAUGAGAUAGAGAAAAACAAAGACUGUGUGCUAGAUAAGCAGCCCGAAAUAUGAAAUGCCUGAAGAAGGAAGGGAUGCUUAUCUUUGUAGUAUUGCUGAGACAUAACAUAAGAUGAGAAUGGAGAAUCGACAAUUUGACAUAUCGACAUGGAGCAGUUGCCAUGGACACCUGGUUUCAGGUUAUGUUACCUGAGUAUGCCUAGAUACACUUGGCAUGCAACCACGGUGGAACCUAAGUACUUGGACCAAGGAGCAGGGCUGAUUUAAGAAGGAGACACCUCAGGGCUUAAUCUGUGAUCUGAUCACAUCCAGCCCUGACAUCACCUCAUGGCACGAUGCAGUCAGAUCUUACCUCAUUAUCCGCUGUCUAUAAAACCUGCCCCAACCCCCAGAUCUGAGAGACAAAUUUGAACAUUUCUCCCAUCUACUUCCUAGUCGACUAAAAAUAAACCUUUCCCUCUAAAAAAUCCUUGUGCUUCCUUGUUUGGCUUUCCAUUGCAAUCAGGCAAACGGCCUGCAUUGGUUUAGGUAACUGACACUCCCAAGACUCAAGGAGCUGCCGUGCAGCACUAUUUUGAAAGCCCAGCCCCCAUCAGACUGUAUCUUGCUCUGGGGCGAACAGCCCCAUCAUCUCCACGUCCCUGGAACCCUGCGGACAUCUCUUCAUUUCCACCCAGAGGGCUGCAACUUUGUCCCGUGGGCUGAAUCCAGUGGUGCAGUAAGGAACAGCAGUGCACCACACCAGGGAGGCUGCCCCCAGGACAAAGGGAGCCUAAAUGCACACUCCUCAGUUUCUGAAAGCCACUUGCCUGGGGCCACUGCCACCAACAGCAACCCUCUCAACCUUCCACCGGAAGCAGGGCCACCAAGCAUCUGCAUGUGCCUCCAAUGGUCCUGGAGCUGGUCUACCCAGACACUGUUCUGUGUCCUGAGGACAGGCUCUCACACCACCCACCAUGCAAACAUGCUGCCCAGGGCCUGGGGAUCAUGCUGCCUCAACUGUAGCUGUGGGCAUGUGCAUGCAACAUCAGGAAGUCUGACAGCAGGCCCAGGUCACCUGCCACUGGGACCCAAGCAUGCCAUCCAGGGGCCUGGUGAUUUCCUGGCCCCACUCACCAUAGCCUGCACACUUGCACACCAUUGGAGGGUCUAAGGGCAGGAAAGCAACAUGCCUCCCUGGAGAGAGCUUGAUUCUAUUCUGGCAUAUGCUAGAGAAAAGUACUAAACCAAGUCAGAUGCUUUGGAAUGUGGUCUAAAUAUUAAUGCUACCAAACUGGGGAGGAAGUAACUCAGUUUUGCUGAUUUUUCAUUUUCUUAUGCUUUAUUGGUUAACAAAGAAACCAUUAUUUGCUUUUGAAGGCAGAGUUAUUAUUUUCUACCAUGAAGUUACUUCAACUCAUAAAAAUGUAUUUUAUUUACACCUUUGUAGCAAUGGAGCUUGGAAGAAAAUAUAAAGCUUACCUACAUGAACAUUUCAUCUAGUAUUCUGUGGUCUCACCUGGUCUUCUAUGAAGUUUCAGUUCAAGUGAGGAAACAGCACCAUGCUCUAUUAUGAAAGGAGGCAUUUGCCAUGUGAUUGGAUCAGAGGUAGCUCAAGGUAAUAAAAGGCCUCAAAGCAAUUAGAAAAGACAGAAUUAUUAAUGUGGAUUUAAUGGCAUUAACUGCUUCCCUCCUUUUUUCUCACUGUGUUAUUUUGAAUAACCACAUAGUUUUUUCAAGAUUCUAAUAUAUAUAAUCUAAUCCAUAUGAUUUUUGUACGUGUGAGUUACACAAGGCCGGUAUAUAAAACUUUGACCAAUGUGUCUGUAAAUCAGAGUUCUGCAAACUAUGGCUUAUGGGUGCCAC
rnacentral:lncRNA from 1 species